rnacentral:misc_RNA from 1 species
UUAACUAUUAUAUAGUACUCAGACGACUAAAUUAUACAAGAGUUUUGUGGUCCUCUGGCGAGCACGCACCAGCGGAAGCCGGUGGCCGAAGCGGCUCGCCAAAGCAACAAAGGUUUUAAUAACAUAGGGUUGGAGAGUCACCCGUGAGGGCGAUGUUCUCUGUAAUGAUCCCUCCGCAGGUUCACCUACGGAGA